rnacentral:lncRNA from 1 species
CAAACAAAACUGAUAGUUCCGAUCCACCACCGCUAUUUCUUCUUGGAACGCCUCCUCCUCAUCAUCCAACAAAUUCAAGUUGGCUAACUCCUCCUCUAUGACAAACUUCAAACCGAACCUCACAACCAAGGGAAGAAGAAAGAAAAAACUGGAGUAUAAAAGAAAGGACAAAUCAGAAUCAGAGAAAGUCAAAAAAGAAGGCAAAAGAAAAAUUCGUGCCAAGAGGCAGACUCUUAAAAAUACCUUUUUAUGGUACGCUUAAAAACCAUGAUAUAAUUUGACCGAUUAGAUAGUGUAUGGUUAAGGC